rnacentral:rRNA from 1 species
UACGAAGGGGGCUAGCGUUGUUCGGAAUUACUGGGCGUAAAGCGCACGUAGGCGGAUUUGUAAGUUAGAGGUGAAAGCCCGGGGCUCAACCCCGGAAUUGCCUUUAAGACUGCAUCGCUAGAAUUGUGGAGAGGUAAGUGGAAUUCCGAGUGUAGAGGUGAAAUUCGUAGAUAUUCGGAAGAACACCAGUGGCGAAGGCGACUCGCUGGACAAGUAUUGACGCUGAGGUGCGAAAGCGUGGGGAGCAAACAGG